GGAGUCGGACCUGCCCAGUGAGGAUUUCAACGGCCGCGGUAUUCUGACCGUGCAAAGGUAGCAUAAUCAUUUGCCUUAUAAUUGAAGGCUGGAAUGAAUGGUUUAACAAGAAUAUAACUGUCUCUUUAUGAUUUUAUAGAAUUUUAUAUUUAGGUGAAGAAGCCUAAUUAUAAUUAAAAGACAAGAAGACCCUAUCGAGCUUAAAAAAAAUCAGUAGGCUACACAGUAAUAUAACUAAAAACCCUUCUACUGAAAAUUUUAGUUGGGGCAACUGAGGAACAAAGCUUCCUUGAAAAAUUUAAAUUUUCACAGAAAAUGAUCCAAAAUUUUUGAUUAAGGAAAUUAGUUACCGUAGGGAUAACAGCAUAAUCCUUUUUUAGAGUUCUAAUCGAAAAAGGGGUUUGUGACCUCGAUGUUGGAUCAGAAUAUCCUAAAGAUGCAGUAGUCUUUAAGGG
rnacentral:rRNA from 1 species